AACGAACGCUGGCGGCAGGCCUAACACAUGCAAGUCGAGCGCCCAGCAAUGGGAGCGGCGGACGGGUGAGCAACACGUGGGAACAUGCCCAGAGGUACGGAACAACCCAGGGAAACUUGGGCUAAUACCGUAUGGUCCGGUAACGGCAAAGAUUUAUCGCCUCUGGAUUGGCCCGCGUCCGAUUAGCUGUUGGUGAGGUA
rnacentral:rRNA from 1 species